GCAGUCGACGGGGUGGGGGGCAACUCCCAUUCAGUGGCGAACGGGUGAGUAAUGCAUCGGAACGUGUCCCGUAGUGGGGGAUAACGCCGCGAAAGCGGCGCUAAUACCGCAUACGCUCUACGGAGGAAAGCAGGGGAUCGCAAGACCUUGUGCUAAGGGAGCGGCCGAUGUCCGAUUAGGUUGUUGGUGGGGUAAUGGCUUACCAAGCCUGCGAUCGGUAGCUGGUCUGAGAGGAUGAUCAGCCACACUGGGACUGAGACACGGCCCAGACUCCUACGGGAGGCAGCAGUGGGGAAUUUUGGACAAUGGGGGCAACCCUGAUCCAGCCAUGCCGCGUGCGGGAAGAAGGCCUUCGGGUUGUAAACCGCUUUUAGCCGGGACGAAAGCUUCACGGAUAACACCCGUGAGGGUUGACGGUACCGGCGGAAUAAGCACCGGCUAACUACGUGCCAGCAGCCGCGGUAAUACGUAGGGUGCGAGCGUUAAUCGGAAUUACUGGGCGUAAAGCGUGCGCAGGCGGUUCGUUGUGUCGGUGGUGAAAUCCCCGGGCUUAACCUGGGAAUGGCCGUCGAAACUGGCGAACUUGAGUGUGGCAGAGGGGGGUGGAAUUCGCGUGUAGCAGUGAAAUG
rnacentral:rRNA from 1 species